GAUGAACGCUAGCGACAGGCUUAACACAUGCAAGUCGAGGGGCAACGGGGGUGAAAGCUUGCUUUCACCUGCCGGCGACCGGCGCACGGGUGAGUAACACGUAUGCAACCUGCCCUCCACUGGGGGAUAAGCGGAAGAAAUUCCGUCUAAUACCGCAUAACAACCCGAGGGGACAUCCCCCUUGGGUUUAAAGGAGUGAUCCGGUGGCGGAUGGGCAUGCGGCGCAUUAGCUAGUUGGCGGGGUAACGGCCCACCAAGGCGACGAUGCGUAGGGGUUCUGAGAGGAAGGUCCCCCACACUGGGACUGAGACACGGACCAGACUCCUACGGGAGGCAGCAGUGAGGAAUAUUGGUCAAUGGGCGGGAGCCUGAACCAGCCAAGUCGCGUGAGGGAAGACGGUCCUAUGGAUUGUAAACCUCUUUUGUCGGGGAGCAAAGAGGCCUCGUGAGGUCAAAAGUGAGAGUACCCGAAGAAAAAGCAUCGGCUAACUCCGUG
rnacentral:rRNA from 1 species